GGCCUAACACAUGCAAGUCGAGUGCGCAGCUUCCUGUAGCAAUACAGGGAGUGGGCGCACGGCGCACGGGUGCGUAACACGUGGGCAAUCUGCCCUCGGAUGGGGGAUAACUCGUCGAAAGGCGAGCUAAUACCGCAUGACAUUCCCAAGACUCCGGUCUAGGGACUCAAAGGCCGCAAGGCCGUCUGAGGAGGAGCCCGCGCCCGAUUAGCUAGUUGGUGAGGUAACGGCUCACCAAGGCUUUGAUCGGUAGCCGGUCUGAGAGGAUGGCCGGCCACACUGGAACUGAGACACGGUCCAGACUCCUACGGGAGGCAGCAGUGGGGAAUAUUGCGCAAUGGGCGAAAGCCUGACGCAGCGACGCCGCGUGGGGGAUGAAGCUUCUCGGAGUGUAAACCCCUUUCGACCCGGACGAAUGACCCGCAAGGGUUUGACGGUACGGGUAUAAGA
rnacentral:rRNA from 1 species